rnacentral:ncRNA from 1 species
UAAUGAUUGUAGGAUGAAGGUGCUGACUAGUCAGCUUAAUAGGGAAUUCGGUGAAAAACCGAAGCUGUUUCCGCAACUGUAAAUGCAGAUGAAAUAAGAUUUAGCCACUGUCGAAUGAAGAAAAAUGCUUCUAGUAGAUGGGAAGGUUCUUAGAGUAAAGUGAUGCAUGAGCCAGGAGACCUACCUUUUCUGAUCGUAUAAA